CACAGACCAAAUUGAUGUUAAAAUCAUUAAACAACCGCAUAAUAACCAAUUAGAAAUAAAAAAAACCACGAAAUCUAUCCAUAAAUCCUUCAACAGAAUAUUACAAUUUGUCUAAUUAAUUCAACCACGGCAAUCCAAUCUAAGAUUUGGCCCUUGCAGUACUCGCCAGUGUUGGGCUGCUAUUGCUACUGCUAUCAGAAAAUGAAGCAAGUGUUUUCUGCGGAAACCCAGAUGGGGAAGAAACAGCAGUUGCUGGUGGACUACCAGAAUCUCCAUUUUCAGCGACUGGAGAUGACUGACUAGCUGUGGCGUUUGCAGAGCUCAGUUGUAUGACUUCUGCUAGAGGACCACCUGGUGUAGCCCCUGUCCAAGAAGCAGAGGACAUGGCCAGCGAUUUGGUGCAACAUUCACGAUUUUGAUCUGAUUCUAUUAGGCCUAACCCCAUUUGGAUCUGAUCCAUUUCAUCAUCCAUGUUGAUGCCUCCCAUGGAUAGAGAGAGGGAGGAUUGUGAAAGUUUCCCAUUUGAGGAAACAGCAGAACCAGUGUUUCUAGAGGCUGCACCACUCUGGUCAUCUGAUGCUCCAUUAGACCAUGCAUCAAUGAAACCCCUGGGUGUCUCGUUGAGAAAUAAAGUACACUGAUUGCUAUGGUGAUCUUCUCCUGCGCUGAAAUUUCCAAAGGAGUUCAAGUUCAAAGCCUCUCCUCCAUGGUAAUCCGGAUUGAGAAUAGGGGUGCUAUUGAAGGAUCUUUCAUUGGAUAGUCCAAUUUCUGUCUGCUUUAUCAUAUGGUGCCAUUGUUGAUCGGCAGGUUCUCCUUUUAUCAUCCACUCCAAACUCCUGGGUUCCUCCUUGAAUGCUGCAGCAAAGGCCAGAGAUGCGUCAAAAUUUGCAACCUUUUCACUGGGUUUAUCAGGAAAAACAGGGGCCUGGAGGUAUGGCUGUGAAUUAGUACCUACAAAUUGAGAAGCAACCGCAGGAACUGGAGAUUCUGCAGAAACAGCAGGAUUGUAACGAGUCUUCUUAUUGUUAUUGUUAGUAUCGGUGUUGGCUUGGAGUUCCACAGGCUUUCUUGAACGGGG
rnacentral:misc_RNA from 1 species